GCGCUCCCUUCCGCCUCCCAAGGUCGCCAUCGCGCUCCCAUCCGAGCUCCUUUGAGGUCGCCGGCGCGCUCCCAGCAAUUUCGGCCGCAGGGGAAAAGGGGACUAGAUCGCAGCGCCGAUUUCUCCCGCUGGCUCGGUUCUGGAGCAUGCGGGGGUCCCUGUAGCAGCGUCGAGGUGGGGUGCAGCAGGAGGGAGGCGGGAGACGCGGUGGUAGUGAGCGUCGAUGUUUGAGCAGGGCGGCGUCCUGGUGGUGGGCAUCGAUGUUGAGCAGGGCCACGUCCUGGUGGGUAUCGAUGUGGAGAAAGCUGUUACUCUAUAUUUGCAUAAGCGGAUGUGGAGGCCACCUGCCACAGCAAGCCUCGAGACACAGCAGUUUGGCUGGGCUCUCUCCCUCAGGCCAUGGUCGGCAACCCCAAGUUUGUUCUUCAGAUCAUCAGAAUAUUGGUUGGGAGUGACUGUCUGUUAUCCGGUUCAUAAUAUUCUAGCUGGCAUAGUCGUCUUAGUAACCCCCAAAUUUCUUCAAUUAUAUUUCUUUGUGUGGAGAGCACGUGAUACUAUAAAAUGAUUCAUGAAAUAUCUUGCUUCACUGAUGUUGUAACAAAUCAGAAGGAAUGUUAAAAUCUUAUGUGAUUUCUUUAUACAGAUCUGCAGACAAAGUGAGGAGAGAAAGUAGCAGAUUGGAGAAGCUUUGGACCAUUGGUUUCAGUUGUCGGAUUUUUCCUUCUCAAUCAUCUGCUGGUAUCAUUUUGGUUAUUUGUUCACAACAGAUACUCCAAUAACUACAAUAUUUUCUUAACUAUUUACAUGGUAUGUCCUAUACAUUAUAUAGUCAGAACCUCAUAAGCUAUUCAAGUUAUUUUCCAGUUAAGUUUACGUGUCAUUAUAAUGGGUUGAGAUGACCUCCUUGGUUUCGUUGUUGAUCUUCGGACUGAGAUUCAUAUUUCUUAGUACCUUAAUACUAGAUUGGGAAAUGGAAAGCAGUGACUAAAUAGUGAAAACGCACAAGGAAACCUAUUUAGAUGAUGCCCUGAAACAAUAUUUUUUAUCUCUAAUAUUUUCAUUGCAAAGUUUAUUUCGAAUUUCCCAUUGAAAUGAUCACCUCUUAGUCUAUUCGCCGGUAUCUGCACAUGAUUUUGGAAUCGAUUGGAGCUUGAGGCUUAUAAAGAUUUCUAAGGGUAUAGAAAAUAGCUACAAUAAUUCAAAACAUGUUUACUGCACUUGUGUCUUGAACAAAUAUUGAUCAAUACAUCCUAAUACUUUUGCACUCUGCAUUUCCGCAGAAGGCACGGGGAAUGAUUGUUGUGUUCUAUAAACGUUGACUGCUGGUAGAUGUCAAAUUAACUCAUGCAAUGGUCUAAUCUGCCAGAUUAAUGACUUUUCGCGGUCUCUUGUCUGUUUAUUCUAUUUCUUGGGUGGCUCUGGAUAUUUUGCUUUCAAUGGGAUCAAUUUUCUAUGUUGAUCGUCGUGCCCAUCCGUCUGCCUCGCUGUGAAGCUGUCUAUUUGCUCGCAUGGUCGUAGUCAUCGAGUUAGGAGUCACCAUUGCAUAUGGCCGUGGGCUGCAACCAAAUCAAUUAAAGAAUGGACCAAUCGAGGCAACAAGAUGUUGAAUUUCUGGCAUUUAUUGGCGUGGUUUUGAUGACCUAUGUAUGCUUCCCAAUUAUCAUACUUAUUGUGUUGCAAAAUCAUGGGCUCUGUUACUUAAUUAUUGAGCAUUAUAUAUAAUACUUUUGCCUUAUAAGAUAA